GGAUUAGUACGCUGGUCGUGCCUUCGGUAUGUACUGGUGUUACUGGUUCCUACCUUCUGACGAACCGUCAUGUCAUUAAUUUGGUGUGGCGGGGAAUCAGGACUGUUACUUUGAAAAAAUUAGAGUGUUUAAAGCAGGCAUUAGCUUGAAUACAUUAGCAUGGAAUAAUGAAAUAGGACG
rnacentral:rRNA from 1 species